UACAGAGGUCCCGAGCGUUGUCCGGAAUCAUUGGGCGUAAAGCGCGCGUAGGCGGCCAGAUAAGUCCGGUGUGAAAGUCACAGGCUCAACCUGUGAAUGCCGCUGGAAACUGUCUGGCUUGAGUCCGGAAGGGGCGAGUGGAAUUCCUGGUGUAGCGGUGAAAUGCGCAGAUAUCAGGAGGAACACCAAUGGCGAAGGCAGCUCGCUGGAACGGUACUGACGCUGAGGCGCGAAAGCGUGGGGAGCGAACAGG
rnacentral:rRNA from 1 species